rnacentral:rRNA from 1 species
AUGGCUGCCGCCUCAUCUGGCCGUGCAGAGGUCGACACCUCUCGCGCGUUCCGGUCUGUCAAGGAGGCGGUCGCUGUGUUCGGUGAGCGCAUUCUCGCAACGGAAGCACAGUUCAGGCCGGGUGCACAUGCCAACCAUCGUGUUGUUAGGGAGAGGAGUUCUUGGCGAGACUCUGUCGCCAUUGCUUCCUCAAAAGAGAAGCUUGAGGGGAGUUCUGACCUCAUCAGGGGAAGCCACUCCACCAGUCCAAACGCCAUCGCCGUUGCCAUUGCCAAGCACGAGGGAAAUAGCAGUGAGCCUGCUAGAAUUGUAAUGCCAGUGUCUAAUGCCCAGCCAAUGUGCCUGGUCCCGUUGUCUCCACGGUUCCAGGCAUCAUCGUCCCCGUCUCUAGCCCGUGGCGACGGCUACGACAAGCAGGACGGGAAGGAAGCCAAUCUCAUGAUCAUGAGCUCCAUCAAGAAGGUGGAGGAAGAGGCGGCCAAGACAAGGCUGGAGGCGGUGCAGGUCAAGAGGAGGCUGGCCGACCUGGAGCUAGCCAUGGCGAACCUCAAAGCGAAGCUCCACCGUGCCCUCUCGAGGCUGGCAUACAUGGAGGCUGACAAGGCGGCGGCCGCAAGGGCCAACAUCCAGCAGAGGGAUAUCAACACGUCGGCGCUGACGGUCUGGGCCGAGGCCAAGACCGAGCGGCACCCAUUGCGACACCUGCUGAGCCUCGACGAUGCCGACGAGGAGGUGAAGCAUGGCCAGGAAAGGGAGAUGACGACGACAACGACGAAGAGGAAGAUGCAGAAGCAGAAGCCAAUCAUGCCCCUUGUUGUUCCGCUCAUCAGUGAGGUGCUUUUCUCCAAGAAGAAGAGGAUGAACGACAAGGAGAGCUUGUACCUGAAGGAGCUCUACAGCUUGCUAAGGCUGUCUUGA